GUUGAUGGCGACCGGCGCACGGGUGAGUAACACGUAUCCAACCUGCCGAUGACUAGGGGAUAGCCUUUCGAAAGAAAGAUUAAUACCCGAUGGCAUAGUUCUUCCGCAUGGUAGAACUAUUAAAGAAUUUCGGUCAUCGAUGGGGAUGCGUUCCAUUAGGUUGUUGGCGGGGUAACGGCCCACCAAGCCUUCGAUGGAUAGGGGUUCUGAGAGGAAGGUCCCCCACAUUGGAACUGAGACACGGUCCAA
rnacentral:rRNA from 1 species